AAACGUAGGGGGCGAGCGUUGUCCGGAAUUACUGGGCGUAAAGGGUGCGUAGGCGGCCGAUUAAGUCAGAUGUGAAAUACCAGGGCUCAACCCUGGGGGUGCAUUUGAAACUGGUUGGCUUGAGUGCAGGAGAGGAAAGCGGAAUUCCUAGUGUAGCGGUGAAAUGCGUAGAGAUUAGGAGGAACACCAGUGGCGAAGGCGGCUUUCUGGACUGUAACUGACGCUGAGGCACGAAAGCGUGGGGAGCAAACAGGAUUAGAUACCCUGGUAGUCCACGCCGUAAACGAUGGAUACUAGGUGUAGGGGGUUAUGAUACCCUCUGUGCCGGAGUUAACGCAAUAAGUAACCCGCCUGGGGAGUACGGCCGCAAGGUUGAA
rnacentral:rRNA from 1 species